rnacentral:rRNA from 1 species
CAUCGGAACGUGCCAUUGAGAGGGGGAUAACGUAGCGAAAGUUGCGCUAAUACCGCAUAUUCUGUGAGCAGGAAAGCAGGGGACCGCAAGGCCUUGCGCUCUUUGAGCGGCCGAUGUCAGAUUAGCUAGUUGGUGAGGUAAAGGCUUACCAAGGCGACAAUCUGUAGCGGGUCUGAGAGGAUGAUCCGCCACACUGGAACUGAGACACGGUCCAGACUCCUACGGGAGGCAGCAGUGGGGAAUUUUGGACAAUGGGGGCAACCCUGAUCCAGCCAUGCCGCGUGAGUGAAGAAGGCCUUCGGGUUGUAAAGCUCUUUCGGCCGGGAAGAAAUCGCAUGGGCCAAUACCCUGUGUGGAUGACGGUACCGGAAUAAGAAGCACCGGCUAACUACGUGCCAGCAGCCGCGGUAAUACGUAGGGUGCGCGCGUUAAUCGGAAUUACUGGGCGUAAAGCGUGCGCAGGCGGUUUUGUAAGACAGGCGUGAAAUCCCCGGGCUUAACCUGGGAACUGCGUUUGUGACUGCAAGGCUAGAGUACGGCAGAGGGGGGUGGAAUUCCACGUGUAGCAGUGAAAUGCGUAGAGAUGUGGAGGAACACCAAUGGCGAAGGCAGCCCCCUGGGUCGAUACUGACGCUCAUGCACGAAAGCGUGGGUAGCAAACAGGAUUAGAUACCCUGGUAGUCCACGCCCUAAACUAUGUCAACUAGGUGUUGGGUGGGUAAAACCAUUUAGUACCGUAGCUAACGCGUGAAAUUGACCGCCUGGGGAGUACGGCCGCAAGGUUAAAACUCAAAGGAAUUGACGGGGACCCGCACAAGCGGUGGAUGAUGUGGAUUAAUUCGAUGCAACGCGAAAAACCUUACCUACCCUUGACAUGCCAGGAACUUGCCAGAGAUGGCUUGGUGCCCGAAAGGGAGCCUGGACACAGGUGCUGCAUGGCUGUCGUCAGCUCGUGUCGUGAGAUGUUGGGUUAAGUCCCGCAACGAGCGCAACCCUUGUCGUUAAUUGCCAUCAUUUAGUUGGGCACUUUAACGAGACUGCCGGUGACAAACCGGAGGAAGGUGGGGAUGACGUCAAGUCCUCAUGGCCCUUAUGGGUAGGGCUUCACACGUCAUACAAUGGUCGGUACAAAGGGUUGCCAAGCCGCGAGGCGGAGCCAAUCCCAGAAAGCCGAUCGUAGUCCGGAUUGCAGGCUGCAACUCGCCUGCAUGAAGUCGGGAUCGCUAGUAAUCGUGGAUCAGCAUGUCACGGUGAAUACGUUCCCGGGUCUUGUACACACCGCCCGUCACACC